CAACUUGUAGGGAUGGUCAACCACUGAUAAUACCAGCUCCUAUUACACAUCUCUUUUAGGUGUUCUUCAAACUAAUCAACCACAAGUCAAGGUCACCUUUCAGACAUUCCAUACCACCAUGUCCUCAACUCUUGUGUUGCCUGCAAGGACCAAUCCAGAUCAGAUCCAUUCUCUGGAUGUUAUGGAGAUCUCUCAUCUUAACUCUAACACCUUUAAGGUAUCCAAGGAGAAAAUCAGGUGCAUGGAUGGCAGGUCAACUUCGGGUGGCUUCCCCCUUCACUCAGCUCUCAUUCUUCUUCCCGCUGCCAUGUGAAGAAGGACAUGUUUGCUUCCCCUUCUACCAUGAUUGUAAGUUUCCUGAGGCCUCCCCAGCCACGCUAAACUGUGAGUCACUUAAACCCCUUGCCUUUAUAAAUUACCCAGUCUCAAGUGUGUCUUUAUUAGCAGCAUGAGAACAGAUUAAUACAAUUACUUUUAUAUAGAAAAGAAAAUGGUUAUAUUUCAAUUUCAACAAUUCUUUGAAAAUAAAAUAAAAUGAGAAUGAUUUAUCAUAUAAUUUACAUGACAUAAAUAUACAUACGAUAGUGUUAAUAUACACAACUACACUUAAAUCUUGGCUUUGCCAUUUACUAGCUGUGUGAAUUACAGAAAGAUACUUAACUUUCCUGGUGUUCAAUUUUUUUCAUUUGAUAAAUAGCAAGAACACUACCUAUCUUGCAUGGAUACAGUUUGAAAUGGAAAUGUGUAUAAAAUGACAAUAAUAUCCAUCAUGUGUAUUAAUGGCUCUUACCAGAUAGUCAGUAUACGGUUGAUAUUAUUAACAUAAACAUCAGUUAUAAUUUAAAAUUAUUUUGUAUAAAUAUAUCCUCUAAAAAUUUUUUAAACUAUCAUGCAUCAAGCCAAAUGAUGCAAAAGGAGGUUAAGGAACUAUUAAAACAUUGUUUUGCUGCUAUUUCCUGGAGAAAAUAUGACUUAAUUAGUCAGACUGAAACGGAUUAUUUUAAAGUGUAAGUAAUUCGCAGGUAUUAAUAGCUAGCAUUGCCCCUAGUAUGGUCCAGAUGGUCUUAUCAGGUCUUAUUGGGUUUCUUGUGCAUUAAAAAACAGAGUUUAAUGAGGCAAUAGUACCCUAAAGCAGGUUUGCAAUAAAUUCAACAAAUAUACUGGCACCUCUCCAAGUGUGUAAUAAACAACCUCCUCUGCUCCUAGCGGCAAAAGAAAAUACUCUUGACUCCCGAGCAUCACUUGCCUUCAGUGAACAAGGCUGUUGUAAAAAUGCUUUAGAGAGCAAAUGCCUUUAAAGAACUCAAAGACUUGGACAUUAUCAUUUCCAUCUGGUGACAGAAGGUCCAAAGAAGCAUCUUUCCUCACCUAUACGUAUCACUGAGUUGUGAGAGGAAAUGAAGAACAGACAUUGGUGGGGAGACAGAAGGAAAUGUUAGCAAGUGGAGGGGUUUUAUGAAGUCAGGAGGUAAAGAGAGAAAGAGAGAGAGAGAGAGGAAAAAGGAGGAGGACAAGGAGGAGAAAAAGUGAAGAAGAAGAAAGAAGGGAGAGAGGGAGGGUGGAUAGAGAAAUGCCCUCUCUUGGUUCUCAAUGUCUCAUCCACCUCCCUCAUCCAAACCACAGACUAAAGCAGGCAAGGAAGUGGCUCCACCUUCUCCAUUCCUUCAGAGGUCUGAAAUAUAUCAAUUAGGUCCAGCAGGGUGAUUAUUUUUUAAACCUAACAUAAGUAAGCCUUUCUGUUCUACCAGACUGUGCUCCUUAAGGGUGUAGAACAUGGCUCAUUCUUCUUUGCAUCAACAAUAUUUAACACUUCUCAGAUGCAUACUAGGCAUCAAUAAAAAAACUUUCUCAUUAAAACAUUUUAGGGCUUAUAUGCUCUAUUUUUUUUCCCUGAGGUCCACUGCUUAUAUUGAACAUGAAAAACUUAGCCCACAUGUUAAUAAAAUCUUAUAUUUGGUCCUGGAUCAUAAAAAAAAAAUAAGUUAAAAGCCCAUUUUCUAUAAGGAAUUUGGGUCUUCUGCUGAUGGACAGAGACGUUCUUCACUGAGACAGACUUUGUGAAUUCGGGAGUGGUAAUCUCUACCCUCAGAGGGCAGUGGGGGUCAGUCAUUGAACUGUUAUUCUAAAAAAUAAAGACAUUAAAUAAAGUUAAAAUUAAGGACGCUUUAUGGAAUUUCAGGGUUUCGAUGAUGUGUAAAGCUAAUGGCAACAGAGCAAAAUUUACUCCUUUAAGGAGAGGAGAGCCUGAAAAUAUUUUUUAAAUAAGUAAAUAUCAAGUUAGAAAGGUUUGGAAAAUAGUUGUUAAAAUUAUAAUAAAGCUCUCUACUUUUCUUUUAUCUUUUUCUGUUUUUGGAUGUUGGUCAACUAAAUUAAUUACGUAACAAAAAUUCAAGUAGGGAUUUAAUUUGCCUCUGCUGGUAACUCCAGAUCUCUAGGGUCUCAUUUGCAGGAGUGCUCCUGAGGCACUAGGAGUGGAUGCUAAAGAAGACUUUUUCAGACCAGAAGGGGAGAAAAGGGCUGCCCAGCAUCCAUGGGUAAGAUAAGGUUGUCCCAGGUGGGGAAUAUUUUGAAAACAUCCUAAGGUGUUUUUACCUUAACACCUUUUGAUAAGAGAAUCAAGAGAAUUUGAUUCUCUUUUGAUAAGAAAAUCAAAAGAUGUAAGCUAUUGGGGAUAUUCAAGUGGGGUCAGGGAGAGUCACAUGCCUUUCCUUCAUCUUCUAGUACAGUCUUGGGUAAGGUGCUCUGAGGUCUUCAAGGCAGUGUUGUCACAUUGAAGGAGCAGACUGCAUGUUAGACACUGAAAAAGACCUCUGAUUACUCUGAGGAUGACACUGUCACCCACUCAGGGUCGAGCUGAGAAAGCCUUGUCCAUGAGUUGUGAUGUAACUAUGCUUCAUCUUCAGAAGCCGUCAUGGUGGCUACAGCCAAACAGCAAGCCCAGAGGAGCAACAGGUGGGGACAAAGACACAAACAGAGGUAGCUAUAAAAGCAACAUCCACUGAAUGAGGCCAACAAGCACCAAGGCAGCAGGAAAAUGAUUACCAAGAAGAAUGAGGUGCCAUUUCAUCAGAAGGAAGGAGAAAGGAUUGGGGUGUCAGCACCCCAGUAACUGUACUGGAAUCAUGGAGUUGGAAAGUCAUUACCUACUCAAAGAGACAAUCCAGUCUCCUGCUUCUCUGUUUAUUUAUUCAUUCAUGUUGCAAAUCCUGAGUGAGUGCCUACUGCAUACCGGCGAUGUAAGUACAAAUCCCUCUCUCUAAUGAUACUUAAAUUCUAGUGUUAAAGACAGACAUAAGAAAACAAGAAAAAGUGAAUAAAUAAUUUUCCAGUCGCGUUAAGUACAAUGAAGAAAAAAAAUAAGAAAGCAGGGUAGUGGUUAGGGAAAGGUAGGAAGGAAGGGAAAGAAAGAAAAAAAUGCGGGAUGGAGGAAGAGAAAGAUGGGGCGGGCACUCUCUUAUCCAGAGAGGGUCAGGAAGGCCUUCUCUUCGAGCAGAUACCUGUGUAUAAUGAGGGUCUGAGCCAUGCAAAGAUCAGGGAGAAGAGCUUUCCAGGCAGAGAGAACAGGAGUGCAGGCCUGAAGCUAGACCAGAGCAGCCAAGGCAGAGUGAGGAGAAAAUUGUGGGAAAUGUCGCAGUCAGGGGCUAGAUCUGCACACACACCACCCUCAGACAUUUGCAUUUCUGUGUGUGUGUGUGUGUGUGUGUGUGUGUGUGUGUGUGUGUGUGUGUGUGUGUGUUUACUUCUUUUUAAAUGAUGAGAAGCUGUUGGAGUGACAGGACUUCUUUUCAGCUGCCAAGCUUUUUGUGUUUGCACUUUUCCUUAACGCUUCUUCCAGAUUAGGUUCUCCUUAAAUUCUGUUUGCGGCUGCAAGUGAUCCUAGACACCUCUGGCUCAGCUUCCCAACUCAUGCAGGAGAGGAACCUGAAGCUUAGAUAGAUUAUGGAACUCGCUCGAGAUCAUACAAGAAGUGGCAAUGCCGGGAUUUGAGCCCACGAUUGACAAAGCUUUUAUUCUUUGCAUUCUACCAUGCUGCCUCCAAAUAGGUCAAAUGACUAGAAAAAGAGAUUUAGGUUCAUAAUUGUCACUAUGCAUUUUUCCUACUAUGGGAACAAUUAUGAACAAUUCCAUAUGUGUCUAAUUUUAUAACAAUAAAGCGCAAAAGAACAUCUGUAUCUUUUUGUUGUAGGGUAGCAGCCUUGAAAUUUGUAUCUUGGUUUAUUGUAUUAGAUAUUUCUUGAAAUAAGCAGACCUUAAUUGAAA